UUUCAAGACGGUCGUUAAUUUGAAGUACAGUAUAUAUCAACUGUUAUCAGAUUUGAAGCCUGGUCUGCAAAUACGUUCCUUGAAAAACAACCUUCAAAAAGUGACUCCAGCGUGUGAUUCUCUGCCUGCAACCACUGCUAGUCCACAUAAGUCCUUUAACUCCAGCAAUCUCAAGAUUGUAAUUGACCGCCAAACACCACUUGCACCUUAACCCUCCAGCAAACCCACAGUGUUGGAAAAACAUUCACAAGAGGGAGAUGGCUUCUCACAGAUCAGUUUAUGUCACCGCCUUGCUGAUGCCUUUGUAGAGGACAUCCCAGACAUGCAUCCCAUGCCACUUACAGGGCCUUGUGAGAUGUCUAGUGAUUCCAGUGCAGAACAUGAUGGUUCUAGUCAGCAUACCCUCUCCAUGACCUUUAAAAAAACUGGAGCAACUUUUGUUGAAACAGCCCAAUGCCAAGUUGGAUGGGGACAGCAACGUCUCAAAGAGGCAGCGGAAUGCUUUGAUAGACCUGGUGCCACAAAGAGAAACUGAAAAGAUACUUUUCUUUAGCAACAUCCUGAACUCUUUCCACAAGCUGAGCCCCAAGAAUUGUCAUGUGAAAGCCCUUCUUUGACCAACAAUAACAUAAGGUCACCUGGUGUCUUAUCUGACAACACUCCUUCCUCAUAUGAAUCGGGAUCAGAAAAUGAACUGUCCUCAAAGGAAAGUAUCUCUGCGGAUGAUUAAUGAACUUUCAUACCUUGUGAUCCUUGUUACAAGUUUUCCUGUUUAAUGUCUUAUACAUUUUAUUCAAAAUGUCCAUUGGUUUGAUGUGAAAUUUCUAAAAUGUCUUGUGUUUAAAAUUGCCCAUGUGUAAAUAAAUCGUCAUGGUGAGUUUGUUACUUCUCAGCUUUAUUUAUAUGCAAAAUUGUUUACAAUUUUGUUUGUUGUGCUAAAUUAAUAAAAUAUAAUAAUUAUUGGCUAUAA